rnacentral:rRNA from 1 species
AGAGUUUGAUCCUGGCUCAGGACGAACGCUGGCGGCGUGCUUAACACAUGCAAGUCGAACGGAAAGGCCCUUCGGGGUACUCGAGUGGCGAACGGGUGAAUAACACGUGGGUGAUCUGCCCUGCACUUUGGGAUAAGCCUGGGAAACUGGGUCUAAUACCGAAUAUGACCAUGCACUUCCUGGUGUGUGGUGGAAAGCUUUUGCGGUGUGGGAUGGGCCCGCGGCCUAUCAGCUUGUUGGUGGGGUAAUGGCCUACCAAGGCGACGACGGGUAGCCGGCCUGAGAGGGUGACCGGCCACACUGGGACUGAGAUACGGCCCAGACUCCUACGGGAGGCAGCAGUGGGGAAUAUUGCACAAUGGGCGCAAGCCUGAUGCAGCGACGCCGCGUGAGGGAUGACGGCCUUCGGGUUGUAAACCUCUUUCAGCACAGACGAAGCGCAAGUGACGGUAUGUGCAGAAGAAGGACCGGCCAACUACGUGCCAGUAGCCGCGGUAAUACGUAGGGUCCGAGCGUUGACCGGAAUUACUGGGCGUAAAGAGCUCGUAGGUGGUUUGUCGCGUUGUUCGUGAAAACUCACAGCUUAACUGUGGGCGUGCGGGCGAUACGGGCAGACUUGAGUACUGCAGGGGAGACUGGAAUUCCUGGUGUAGCGGUGGAAUGCGCAGAUAUCAGGAGGAACACCGGUGGCGAAGGCGGGUCUCUGGGCAGUAACUGACGCUGAGGAGCGAAAGCGUGGGGAGCGAACAGGAUUAGAUACCCUGGUAGUCC